rnacentral:snRNA from 1 species
GUGCUUGCUUCGGCAGCACAUAUACUAAAAUUAGAAGGUUACCUGUACAUGGCCCCCGCACAAGGAUGACAUGCAAAUUCGUGAAGCGUUCCAUAUUUUU